rnacentral:misc_RNA from 1 species
AAAGUCGUAACAAGGUUUCCGUAGGUGAACCUGCGGAAGGAUCAUUAGCGAGAGCCUGCCACGCGGACACGCAAGUGCCGAGUGAGCAAGCGCGCCAUCCUUGUGUUGUGUGUGGUGUUGUGUGUGCGCACAUGCUUGUGUGCACAUGCGCAUUUUUCACCCUUUUAUCCAUUUAUUUCUAAUCUCAUUUGCUCGUACAUGAGCACAAACAACCGAAAACUGCCAGCAAUGGAUCACUCGGUUCUC